rnacentral:tRNA from 1 species
GCAGGCAUAGCUUCAAUCGGCAGAGCGCUGCCUUGGUAAGGCAGAGGUUAUGGGUUCGAUUCCCAUUGCCUGCUCCA